AUGGUGUCCGGGGCGAGGCACACCUCCACGUCCACGCUGCCGUCCCCGGCCUGGCCCGGGAACGCCGACAUCUUGCCGUCGAACUUGUUCGCCCGCCCGCUCCGCACGGCGAGCGCCCUGCCCCAGCCGAAGUCGUUGCCGUCGUACAUCGGGAACCGCGGGGAGCUGCCCAUGGUGAGCGCCGCGCCGUCGGGGUUCCCCAGCGGGAAGCACCGGGGCGCCGCCUCCCAGUCCGCCGCGGCCUUCCGGAUGGCGCCGUCCUCGUGCGCCACCACGGUGGCGUGCAGCCUGGCCGCCGCCCACCCGAGGUCGUGGGAAGCCAGCUCGGCCACCGUUGCCGUCGUUGCCACGCUCUGGAUGGCGUUGCCGAAGUAG
rnacentral:rRNA from 1 species